UGUCUUAACACAGCCAGUCCUGUUAGUUUAUAGUACAGUAGGUCCAUUCAUUCAUCAUGUCUUAACACAGCUAGUCCUGUUAGUCUAUAGUACAGUAGGUCCAUCAUCGUGUCUUAACACAGCCAGUCCUGUUAGUCUAUAGUACAGUAGGUCCAUUCAUUCAUCGUGUCUUAACACAGCCAGUCCUGUUAGUCUAUAGUACAGUAGGUCCAUUCAUUCAUCGUGUCUUAACACAGCUAGUCCUGUUAGUUUAUAGUACAGUAGGUGCAUCAUAGUGUCUUAACACAGCCAGUCCUGUUAGUUUAUAAUACAGUAGGUCCAUUCAUUCAUCGUGUCUUAACACAGCCAGUCCUGUUAGUCUAUAGUACAGUAGGUCCAUUCAUUCAUCGUGUCUUAACACAGCCAGUCCUGUUAGUCUAUAGUACAGUAGGUCCAUCAUCGUGUCUUAACACAGCCAGUCCUGUUAGUUUAUAGUACAGUAGGUCCAUUCAUUCAUCGUGUCUUAACACAGCUAGUCCUGUUAGUUUAUAAUACAGUAGGUCCAUUCAUUCAUCGUGUCUUAACAGAGCCAGUCCUGUUAGUCUAUAGUACAGUAGGUCCAUCAUCGUGUCUUAACACAGCCAGUCCUGUUAGUCUAUAGUACAGUAGGUCCAUCAUCGUGUCUUAACACAGCCAGUCCUGUUAGUUUAUAGUACAGUAGGUCCAUUCAUUCAUCGUGUCCUCAAUCCAGCUGCCUUGUAUAUUUACAAGGUAAAUGUAUGUUUUUAAUGCAGCAGAUUAAAUGUAAUUACAUCUAA